rnacentral:ncRNA from 1 species
AUCUUCGGGGCAAGGUGUAAUCCCUGACCGGCAGUAAAGUCUGCGAACCGCUGGUAAACGGCUGAUGUGGUGAAAUUCCACUACCGACGGUAAAAGUCCGGAUGGAAGAAGAU